GACGAACGCUGGCGGCGUGCUUAACACAUGCAAGUCGAACGAUGAAGCCGGAGCUUGCUCUGGUGAAUUAGUGGCGAACGGGUGAGUAACACGUGAGUAACCUGCCCUUGACUCUGGGAUAACUGCGGGAAACUGUAGCUAAUACCGGAUACGACCCUCGGAGGCAUCUCCUGGGGGUGGAAAGAAUUUCGGUCAAGGAUGGACUCGCGGCCUAUCAGCUAGUUGGUGAGGUAAAGGCUCACCAAGGCGACGACGGGUAGCAGGCCUGAGAGGGUGACCGGCCACACUGGGACUGAGACUCGGCCCAGACUCCUACGGGAGGCAGCAGUGGGGAAUAUUGCACAAUGGGCGCAAGCCUGAUGCAGCAACGCCGCGUGAGGGAUGACGGCCUUCGGGUUGUAAACCUCUUUUAGCAGGGAAGAAGCGAAAGUGACGGUACCUGCAGAAAAAGCACCGGCUAACUACGUGCCAGCCGCCGCAGUAA
rnacentral:rRNA from 1 species